GUCUUCCCUCCCUAUCCUGGCGUGUGUUAGUGGUUCCCUCCAUUGUCCGGUGUCAUGGGGACAGGUCCUGGUCACCCCCCCUGUGCUCGUGGAGCUCUGUGUCAUGGGGACAGGUCCUGGCCACUGCCCUGUGCUCGCGGAGCUCUGUGUCAUGGGGACAGGUCCUGCUCACCCCCCUGUGCCCAUGGAGCUCUGUGUCAUGGGGACAGGUCCUGCUCACCCCCCUGUGCCCAUGGAGCUCUGUGUCAUGGAGACAGGUCCUGGUCACCCCCUUGUGCCCAUAGAGCCUGUGUCAUGGGGACAGGUCCUGGCCACCACCCUGUGCCCGUGGAGCUCUGUGACAUGGGAACAGGUCCUGCUCAUCUCCUUGUGCCCGCAGAGCCUAUGUCAUGGGGAUGGGUCCUGGUCCCAGGUUGUGGGCUGUGUGGAGACUCGAAUGCCAGGCUGCCCCUUGGACUCUCAAUCUGCAGGCCUGUAGGGAAGACAGGACCCAUGUACAGGUGAUCGUGGCGUGAGGCCUUGACCUUCUCGUAACCUCUCUGGGCCUGAGCUUCCCCAGGUGUAAAUGGAGACCUGUGUACCUCGUGGGGUGCGCAGCUGAGAGGACUAAGCCGAGAUGCCUGUGCAUAGUGUUUGCACCAUGCCUGUCCCAGAACAAGCACUCUGAUGCGAGGUGGCAGCAACAACAGGGUUGCUGUCUCCUGAUACCGGGAGGCGGACCUGGUCCAUUUGGAAACAAAGAACUAAUUGCAGCUGAGGAAAGCCUUGUGCUGUGGGGUAUGCCCUUGCAGAGAUGCUAAAUGGAGGUGCAAGGAGACAAGCUCACCUUCUUGUGCAGAAGGUUCUAGCAGAUGUCCUGGCUCUAACAACGGAGAUCAGUGACUUGGAGCUGAAACCUGAGCCAUGGGGUGAUGGGCGAGCCCUCGGGCGGCAGGCUAGCCACGCUCCUUCCUCCUUGUCCUCAGCAGCAAUUAGGAGCCACGAGGAAACAGAAAGCAGAGGCGAACAAUGUAUGUCACGAGGAAAUAAGAACAUUGCACAACUAGAAUAAAUAAUAAUAUUUUUUUCCUGGCUUUAAUGAAACUCUAUAGAUAUAAAAAGCUGGAGAAAG
rnacentral:lncRNA from 1 species